CAAUAGCGUAUAUUAAAGUUGUUGCGGUUAAAAGCUCGUAGUUGGAUUUCUGCCGAGGACGACCGGUCCGCCCUCUGGGUGAGCAUCUGGAUCGGCCUGGGCAUCUUCUUGGGGAACGUGUCUGCACUUGACUGUGUGGUGCGGUAUCCAGGACUUUUACUUUGAGGAAAUUAGAGUGUUUCAAGCAGGCGCACGCCUUGAAUACAUUAGCAUGGAAUAAUACUAUAGGAUCUCGGUUCUAUUUUGUUGGUUUCUAGAGUUGAGAUAAUGAUUAAUAGGGACAAUUGGGGGCAUUCGUAUCAACACGUCAGAGGUGGAAUUCUUGGAUUGUGUUGCGACGAACUACUGCGAAAGCAUUUGCCAAGGAUGUUUUCAUUGAUCAAGAACGAAAGUAAGGGGAUCGAAGAUGAUUAGAUACCAU
rnacentral:rRNA from 1 species